GACGAAGAAAUAGGUGGAAAAAAAGAGAGAAAGAAGAGUGGCUUAAUGAUAAUCAGUAAAAUGAGAGAAUAAGGAGAAAGAAAGUUAAAUAAAAAUAGAAAAUACAAUGGAGGAAAAUCUAACGAGUUUUAGCGAUAAAAAUUAAUGCAAACUUUACAGGUUUUCACUAUGAAAAUUCAAAAAUUGUACUAAAAAAUUCAUCUCCAAAAGCGUAAUCAAUACUGUCCAUUAGUAUCAUCAUGCUCACACCAAAUUAAUAAAUAACCCCAAUAUAAAAAUUGAAGUUCUUCAACCU
rnacentral:lncRNA from 1 species